rnacentral:rRNA from 1 species
UUACACAUGCAAGUCGAACGGCAGCACGGACUUCGGUCUGGUGGCGAGUGGCGAACGGGUGAGUAAUACAUCGGAACGUGCCUAGUAGUGGGGGAUAACUACUCGAAAGAGUGGCUAAUACCGCAUGAGAUCUACGGAUGAAAGCAGGGGAUCGCAAGACCUUGUGCUACUAGAGCGGCUGAUGGCAGAUUAGGUAGUUGGUGGGAUAAAAGCUUACCAAGCCGACGAUCUGUAGCUGGUCUGAGAGGACGAUCAGCCACACUGGGACUGAGACACGGCCCAGACUCCUACGGGAGGCAGCAGUGGGGAAUUUUGGACAAUGGGCGCAAGCCUGAUCCAGCAAUGCCGCGUGCAGGAUGAAGGCCUUCGGGUUGUAAACUGCUUUUGUACGGAACGAAAAGCUUCGGGCUAAUACCCUGGAGUCAUGACGGUACCGUAAGAAUAAGCACCGGCUAA